rnacentral:rRNA from 1 species
UACGAAGGGGGCUAGCGAUGUUCGGAAUCACUGGGCGUAAAGCGCACGUAGGCGGAUUUGUAAGUCAGGGGUGAAAUCCCGGGGCUCAACCUCGGAACUGCCUUUGAUACUGCAAGUCUUGAGUUCGGGAGAGGUGAGUGGAAUUCCUAGUGUAGAGGUGAAAUUCGUAGAUAUUAGGAAGAACACCAGUGGCGAAGGCGGCUCACUGGCCCGAUAAUGACGCUGAGGUGCGAAAGCGUGGGGAGCAAACAGG